GGGGCUGCUGCUCAGUGGCAGAGCAUCUGCUUUCCAUGCAGAUGGUCCUAGGUUCAAUUGCUGGCAUCUCCA
rnacentral:tRNA from 1 species